GAGGAAAAUAAAGAAAUGUUUGAGAACGUGCCGCCUGACAUAAAAUUAAUAUUGAGCAGAAGUGAGUUUAGCCUAUUGGUCCGGCCCUCCACAACAGUCCCUGUUUCUCAUGUGGCCCCUUGG